UAGUCCACGCUGUAAACGAUGUCUACUAGCCGUUGGGGAACUUGAUUCCUUAGUGGCGCAGCUAACGCACUAAGUAGACCGCCUGGGGAGUACGGCCGCAAGGUUAAAACUCAAAUGAAUUGACGGGGGCCCGCACAAGCGGUGGAGCAUGUGGUUUAAUUCGAUGCAACGCGAAGAACCUUACCAGGCCUUGACAUACAGCGAACUUUCUAGAGAUAGAUUGGUGCCUUCGGGAACGCUGAUACAGGUGCUGCAUGGCUGUCGUCAGCUCGUGUCGUGAGAUGUUGGGUUAAGUCCCGUAACGAGCGCAACCCUUGUCCUUAGUUGCCAGCACGUAAUGGUGGGAACUCUAGGGAGACUGCCGGUGACAAACCGGAGGAAGGUGGGGAUGACGUCAGGUCAUCAUGGCCCUUACGGCCAGGGCUACACACGUGCUACAAUGGCGUAUACAGAGGGCUGCCAACUCGCGAGAGUGAGCCAAUCCCUUAAAGUGCGUCGUAGUCCGG
rnacentral:rRNA from 1 species